rnacentral:rRNA from 1 species
CAGUCGCCGCGGUAAUGCAGAGGGAGCUAGCGUUGUUCGGAAUUACUGGGCGUAAAGCGCACGUAGGCGGCUUUGUAAGUUAGAGGUGAAAGCCUGGAGCUCAACUCCAGAAUUGCCGUUAAGACUGCAUCGCUCGAAUCCAGGAGAGGUGAGUGGAAUUCCGAGUGUAGAGGUGAAAUUCGUAGAUAUUCGGAAGAACACCAGUGGCGAAGGCGGCUCACUGGACUGGUAUUGACGCUGAGGUGCGAAAGCGUGGGGAGCAAACAGGAUUAGAUACCCGAGUAGUCCCUGUCUCUUAUAA